ACCAGGCAGUUGGAUCUGACGUGAUUGUAAUGCUGCAGGCAGAAUGAACAACUCAGGCCGAGCCAGAGAAGAAGACAACUGUGCCGUAACAAUCAUUUCACCCGUAAGGUGCAGAAAAACUAAAAGCAGAUCUCCCCAACUCCAUGGAGAUCGACGGGAUCUCCAUAGUUAUCCAUCCCUGAACCCCGGUCCAGUAGCAGAUGCCUCUAUAGGUUAACAUUGAGCAUCAUUGCUCACUGAGCACCAACCAACACCGGAUGUCCAUGGACGUUGAACAGUAGUUGAAAUGUGGUUAGUCCACCCUG